rnacentral:rRNA from 1 species
UGGGGAAUAUUGCACAAUGGGCGCAAGCCUGAUGCAGCCAUGCCGCGUGUGUGAAGAAGGCCUUCGGGUUGUAAAGCACUUUCAGCGAGGAGGAAGGUGGUGAACUUAAUACGUUCAUCAAUUGACGUUACUCGCAGAAGAAGCACCGGCUAACUCCGUGCCAGCAGCCGCGGUAAUACGGAGGGUGCAAGCGUUAAUCGGAAUUACUGGGCGUAGAGCGCACGCAGGCGGUUUGUUAAGUCAGAUGUGAAAUCCCCGGGCUCAACCUGGGAACUGCAUUUGAAACUGGCAAGCUAGAGUCUCGUAGAGGGGGGUAGAAUUCCAGGUGUAGCGGUGAAAUGCGUAGAGAUCUGGAGGAAUACCGGUGGCGAAGGCGGCCCCCUGGACGAAGACUGACGCUCAGGUGCGAAAGCGUGGGGAGCAAACAGGAUUAGAUACCCCCGGUAGUCCACGCUGUAAACGAUGUCGAUUUUGGAGGUUGUGCCCUUGAGGCGUGGCUUCCGGAGCUAACGCGUUAAAUCGACCGCCUGGGGAGUACGGCCGCAAGGUUAAAACUCAAAGGAAUUGAC